rnacentral:tRNA from 1 species
GCCUCCGUAGCUCAGGGGACAGAGCAGCGCUCUGGCGAAGCGCAGGUCGCGGGUUCGAAUCCCGCCGGGGGCA